GCUUCUUUUUCCACCGGAAGCUUGCUCCACCGGAAAAAGAGGAGUGGCGAACGGGUGAGUAACACGUGGGUAACCUGCCCAUCAGAAGGGGAUAACACUUGGAAACAGGUGCUAAUACCGUAUAACAAUCAAAACCGCAUGGUUUUGAUUUGAAAGGCGCUUUCGGGUGUCGCUGAUGGAUGGACCCGCGGUGCAUUAGCUAGUUGGUGAGGUAACGGCUCACCAAGGCCACGAUGCAUAGCCGACCUGAGAGGGUGAUCGGCCACAUUGGGACUGAGACACGGCCCAAACUCCUACGGGAGGCAGCAGUAGGGAAUCUUCGGCAAUGGACGAAAGUCUGACCGAGCAACGCCGCGUGAGUGAAGAAGGUUUUCGGAUCGUAAAACUCUGUUGUUAGAGAAGAACAAGGAUGAGAGUAACUGUUCAUCCCUUGACGGUAUCUAACCAGAAAGCCACGGCUAACUACGUGCCAGCAGCCGCGGUAAUACGUAGGUGGCAAGCGUUGUCCGGAUUUAUUGGGCGUAAAGCGAGCGCAGGCGGUUUCUUAAGUCUGAUGUGAAAGCCCCCGGCUCAACCGGGGAGGGUCAUUGGAAACUGGGAGACUUGAGUGCAGAAGAGGAGAGUGGAAUUCCAUGUGUAGCGGUGAAAUGCGUAGAUAUAUGGAGGAACACCAGUGGCGAAGGCGGCUCUCUGGU
rnacentral:rRNA from 1 species